GUUUCCGUGGUGUAGGCGGUUAUCACGUUCGCCUCACACGCGAAAGGUCCCAGUUCGAAACUGGCGGAAACA
rnacentral:tRNA from 1 species